rnacentral:rRNA from 1 species
GACGAACGCUGGCGGCGUGCUUAACACAUGCAAGUCGAACGGAAAGGCCUGCUUUCCCUUGUGGAUUGCGGGUACUCGAGUGGCGAACGGGUGAGUAACACGUGAGUGAUCUGCCCCCAACUUGGGUAUAAGCCUGGGGAACUGGGUCUAAUUCCCGAUAGGACUGCAGGGUGGUGCCUGUGGUGGAAAACGAUUUUCUAGUGGUUGGGGAUGAGCUCGCGGCCUAUCAGCUUGUUGGUGGGGUAAUGGCCUACCAAGGCGGCGACGGGUAGCCGGCCUGAGAGGGUGGACGGCCACAUUGGGACUGAGAUACGGCCCAGACUCCGACGGGAGGCAGCAGUGGGGAAGAUUGCACAAUGGGCGGAAGCCUGAUGCAGCGACGCCGCGUGGGGGAUGACGGCCUUCGGGUUGUAAACUCCUUUCGACCGCGAGGAAGCCACCUGGUUGGAAGGGUGGUGACGGUAGUGGUAGAAGAAGCACCGGCUAACUACGUG